rnacentral:tRNA from 1 species
AUUUAUAUAAUUUAUAAAAAUAUAGUUUUUUCAAAACUAAAAUAGAAAAUAGUUUCUUAUAAAUA